GACGAACGCUGGCGGCGUGCUUAACACAUGCAAGUCGAACGGUAAGGCUCCAGCUUGCUGGGGUACACGAGUGGCGAACGGGUGAGUAACACGUGGGUGACCUGCCCUGCACUUCGGGAUAAGCCUGGGAAACUGGGUCUAAUACCGGAUAGGACCGCACCGUGAGGGUGUGGUGGAAAGUUUUUUCGGUGUGGGAUGGGCCCGCGGCCUAUCAGCUUGUUGGUGGGGUAAUGGCCUACCAAGGCGGCGACGGGUAGCCGGCCUGAGAGGGUGGACGGCCACAUUGGGACUGAGACACGGCCCAGACUCCUACGGGAGGCAGCAGUGGGGAAUAUUGCACAAUGGGCGGAAGCCUGAUGCAGCGACGCCGCGUGGGGGAUGACGGCCUUCGGGUUGUAAACUCCUUUCACCAUCGACGAAGGGUUUCUGACGGUAGAUGGAGAAGAAGCACCGGCUAACUACGUGCCAGCAGCCGCGGUAAUACGUAGGGUGCGAGCGUUGUCCGGAAUUACUGGGCGUAAAGAGCUCGUAGGUGGUUUGUCGCGUCGUCUGUGAAUUCCGGGGCUUAACUCCGGGCGUGCAGGCGAUACGGGCAUAACUUGAGUACUGUAGGGGAGACUGGAAUUCCUGGUGUAGCGGUGAAAUGCGCAGAUAUCAGGAGGAACACCGGUGGCGAAGGCGGGUCUCUGGGCAGUAACUGACGCUGAGGAGCGAAAGCAUGGGGAGCGAACAGGAUUAGAUACCCUGGUAGUCCAUGCCGUAAACGGUGGGCGCUAGGUGUGGGUUUCCUUCCACGGGAUCCGUGCCGUAGCUAACGCAUUAAGCGCCCCGCCUGGGGAGUACGGCCGCAAGGCUAAAACUCAAAGGAAUUGACGGGGGCCCGCACAAGCGGCGGAGCAUGUGGAUUAAUUCGAUGCAACGCGAAGAACCUUACCUGGGCUUGACAUAUACAGGAUCGCGCCAGAGAUGGUGUUUCCCUUGUGGCUUGUAUACAGGUGGUGCAUGGUUGUCGUCAGCUCGUGUCGUGAGAUGUUGGGUUAAGUCCCGCAACGAGCGCAACCCUUGUCUUAUGUUGCCAGCACGUUGUGGUGGGGACUCGUAAGAAACUGCCGGGGUUAACUCGGAGGAAGGUGGGGAUGACGUCAAAUCAUCAUGCCCCUUAUGUCCAGGGCUUCACACAUGCUACAAUGGUCGGUACAGUGGGUUGCGAUGCCGUGAGGUGGAGCUAAUCCCUUAAAGCCGGUCUCAGUUCGGAUUGGAGUCUGCAACUCGACUCCAUGAAGUCGGAGUCGCUAGUAAUCGCAGAUCAGCAAUGCUGCGGUGAAUACGUUCCCGGGCCU
rnacentral:rRNA from 1 species